ACGGCAACGACCCGAAGGGCGAAGCGCGCAGCGCUGAGUAAUCUCUCCCCCACCACCA
rnacentral:sRNA from 3 species